rnacentral:rRNA from 1 species
UACGGGGGGUGCGAGCGUUAAUCGGAAUAACUGGGCGUAAAGCGCACGCAGGCGGUCUUUUAAGUGAGGUGUGAAAUCCCCGGGCUUAACCUGGGAAUUGCAUUUCAAACUGGGUGGCUAGAGUCCUGUAGAGGGGGGUAGAAUUCCACGUGUAGCGGUGAAAUGCGUAGAGAUGUGGAGGAAUACCGAUGGCGAAGGCAGCCCCUUGGAAAUGUACUGACGCUCAGGUGCGAAAGCGUGGGGAGCAAACAGG